AGCAUUUUAUAAGGCACAUCACAAGCUCAUACCAGCAAUUCUCACCGCACACUUUUAACACUGAAAGAGAAACAGUGUGAGUAACUCUGACUCUUCACUGGCCAGUGACAAAAGAAAAUAAUAAUAAUUGAUGAUAAGGUACAAAACUAGAACUAACUUAAGUUAUUUAUUCCCUCCAGAAGGAAUCAGCUGUAGCUAUCUCCUCCAUUAUAGCAAGAGAGAUGUAAUUAUAAUAAGAUUGAAAAUAGUGAUAACUUUUUGAAAGUUUUGAAAGAAAUUUUUUGUACUCCAUCUACUGACAACCUUUUCGAA